rnacentral:misc_RNA from 1 species
GAUAGAGAGGAAGCAAUGGAGAAGUACUUCGGAAAUGCUUACAGAGGCGACCCUGGAGUUCCACACGCCGACCCAGAUCGCUUCGUCAACAUUUGGAUUGGAUCCGCCGCCUUCUCCGUUCUCACAUGGUUCAAUCCCUACAUGUGGCAACUCUCCAAUCAGUUCAAUUGGCAUGACAAAGCGUUUUUGUUUGAGCAAUACCACUGGAAAAAGGCACGUCAAAAGAAUCAGCCAUACCAGUUCAAGUGGAAUCAGUACAUGGACAAGGACCACCGGGAUUCCUAUUAUUAUAACUGGCCUGUGUACUUUCCUUAGGCUCUCUGAUUGUGUAAGAAAACCGUUGCUUGACUGCCUACUUAUUUGGUUUGUUUGGGUGGCAAAGAGAGAUUGCUAUUACACUAAGGCUUGAAGUUUUAUGAAUGUGUAGAAUCAUAUUUCUUUUGACCAGUUUGGAUAACGGCGU